GAGAGUCCAGGACCCUGGCAUCCGGCCUCUUCUUCCCAUUUGCAACCUAAGCAGACAGGACCUGCUGUCUAUAUCCCUUAAUCCUGGCCCCCUGCCAUCUCCAAUCCCUGCUUAAAGGUCCUUGAUUCUGGACUCAAAUCUAAUUUCUGGUCUUGUCGAUUGUCCAUGACGGUCGCCCACCAGGAGAGGCUCCCCAGCGCGAAACGUGCUGCAGCUGAGCGACAGCGGCGGAUUUUGGCGCUUUGGCCCAGACUCCCUGCCCGAAGCGCCCCGGGACUCCGCCCUGGAGACUGCGCCCUGGAGGCUCCGUAGGGGUCUGUCUUCCUCUGCGGCAGGAGGGGGCGCACGGGGAUUUCUGCCACUGAGGCUGCGCUCACCACCCUGGAAACCAUCACGUCCAGCCUUCCUUCCCUGGGCACAGAGGAGACCUGCCUCAGGCGAAGUUCUUCUGUGGAAUUAAAAAGUCUCUUGGGCUCAGCUCUCCCCAGGGGCCUUCAGAACUCACCAAGGAUAGAGCUGCAGACCUCUGGUGGUCAAAUAGGGACUAAAACCGAUUACACCUACAAGUCAAUUGCAAAUCAGUCUUUCUUUCUGUUGCACCUGUGCCCCUCACUUAGUCACCUGUCUUAGAUGGAAGCUUCGGGCCCCUCCUGGGCCCCAACCCUGCGGUCCCCAGGUUCGCGGUUUUUCACGUCUAAUCUCAAUUGGCCCCUUCCCCACACACCGUGUUUGACCACCCAGUUCACAGAACGCCCCGGGCUUCCUAGUGGGCCAGGUCCUCCUUAGAGAGGCAAGAAGGUGGAGAGGGAGCGUGGACGCCGAGCGCCCGCUGGGCAAACCCGAAUCUGGGGCCUGACCUAGCCGGUAGCCGGUGACGGGGCCGGUGGUGGCUUGGAGACUCCUCUCUGGUCCUCUGCUCUUGGCCCCAGCCCCGCGCUCACAGCCACCUCCUGAAGCCGCCAGUGCUGCGUCCUCUUGGCCACGUAGGGGAAGAGCGGACUGGACGGAAGCAGCGGACUCUGGGCGCUGUCAAGGUCACUGUUGUGAAAAGCCGGGAGACCAGAUGUGGACACAGGGAGGCCUGGACCCGAGGCGCGGCUGGCCAGAGGCCUCGUGUCUGCCCCUCUUCACAGCUUCCAGGGAAGCUCCCCGCGUAUCCUCAAAGCAGAGAGCGGUUUCCAAACGGACCCCCACAGCGCCCGAUUGGGCCAUCCCGCCCCAGGCUGGAGGGUGGGUGCUCAUGGGGUCGCCAGUCACCAAGGGCCCCAUCUGAGCGCACCCGGUCCCUCCUCCAGGCUCGCCUGGGCCUCGAGGGCGGCGAACAGCUCGGCUUUGAAGAAGGCUCCGGCCGGCGCUGCCCAAGUCGGGCAGCCUUCCUGGCCCACCCGGGAGUUGAGUUUCAAGGCUUCCCGGAGAGGCCAGCCCAGAUUCGCAGCGGAGAGUUUCUCAGGCCACAAACCUCGGAGAGAAGCAGCCGUGGUUCCCUGUGCCCUGGGCCACCGCUGGGCGGGGCAGGAAGCCUCCCUGGCGUUUCCUCGCGGGCGCGACUACGAGCCGCGGAAACCAGUGGCCGCUCCACACUAUUUAAGCUGAGGUUCCUCUGCCAUGGCUGCGGUUUGCGGUUUCAGCUUAGUGUACCACUUAGUACUAAUAUUAUUACUUAGUGAACUUAGUGCACUUAGUGCUCUAAGUUUACCAAGUUUACCAUUUAUUGUACUUAGUGUACUUAGUGCUCUAAGUUUACCAAGUUUACCACUUAGUGUACCUAGUCUACUUAAUCAACACUUAGUGUAUUUAGUGUUUCAGCUUAGUGUAGAGAGGCUUCUUUCUUCCUUUUCUGGAGGAGUCAGUGGUUAGAGACGAUUUCCGUGGUUAGAGCGUACUUGGUCUUUAGAAGACGACUUUGGUGUCCAUUGCCAACCCCAUCAGAGAUCGCAGGCCUUUUCCCCUCAGUCCCAGCUCAUCAGCAAAGGUCUGGGUGGCUGUCUCCAGAGGAGACUGAACGAGGUUGUCAAAGCGGCUGGAUCAAAAGUGUUGCCAUGUCGGAUGGAGUGGUGUCCACGAUGAACCUGAGCAUGGAGAUUUCUCCCUCUGCGCUGAGGAUCUCACUGUGCACCUCCAGCCCUGGGUCCUGGUGGGCUCUGGUGGCCACUGGAGUCUUUGGAACUGCCUCCCUCUGGCUCUGCUGGGGUUGGAUUCGGGCAUCGAUGUCACACCCAGCAGGAACAACUGGGGCCACUGGAGGAUUCCCAAGGACACAGGUUGUCCUUUUCAUGCAGGAAGAAUCUGAAUCGUUUCCAUCCAGUUUCCCCGGCAUGCAGCAGAAUACAACACAAGGGGCUGCGGUCUUCUCUGACUCUUAAGGCCCUUGGAAGAUCCUGUUCUGCCAAAAUCAGGGUGAUUUGGGCAAGCAUCCUUAGGGCUCUGGACCUUAGUUUCUUUCCCUGGUUGAUUGAUUGACCAUAUAGGUGUCCUAACUCACAUAGUUGAAAAUCAGAUGUGGUGAAAGUGCAUUGAGACCAGAAACAAUGUUAUUGUCCUGAAAUGCAUGCCCAGAGAGCACUGAAUAAAUUUUUAAAACACCUGA
ensembl:lncRNA novel transcript